AUUGAACGCUGGCGGCAGGCUUAACACAUGCAAGUCGAACGGUAACAUAAAGAAGCUUGCUUCUUUGAUGACGAGUGGCGGACGGGUGAGUAAUGCUUGGGAAUCUAGCUUAUGGAGGGGGAUAACUACGGGAAACUGUAGCUAAUACCGCGUAAUAUCGAAAGAUUAAAGUGUGGGACCUUCGGGCCACAUGCCAUAGGAUGAGCCCAAGUGGGAUUAGGUAGUUGGUGAGGUAAAGGCUCACCAAGCCGACGAUCUCUAGCUGGUCUGAGAGGAUGACCAGCCACACUGGGACUGAGACACGGCCCAGACUCCUACGGGAGGCAGCAGUGGGGAAUAUUGCGCAAUGGGGGCAACCCUGACGCAGCCAUGCCGCGUGAAUGAAGAAGGCCUUCGGGUUGUAAAGUUCUUUCGGUAGCGAGGAAGGCAUUUAGUUU
rnacentral:rRNA from 1 species